UACGUAGGGUGCAAGCGUUGUCCGGAAUUAUUGGGCGUAAAGAGCUCGUAGGCGGUUUGUCGCGUCGGCUGUGAAAACCCGAGGCUCAACCUCGGGCCUGCAGUCGAUACGGGCAAACUAGAGUGUGGUAGGGGAGACUGGAAUUCCUGGUGUAGCGGUGAAAUGCGCAGAUAUCAGGAGGAACACCGAUGGCGAAGGCAGGUCUCUGGGCCACUACUGACGCUGAGAAGCGAAAGCAUGGGGAGCGAACAGG
rnacentral:rRNA from 1 species